rnacentral:rRNA from 1 species
UACAGAGGUCUCAAGCGUUGUUCGGAUUCAUUGGGCGUAAAGGGUGCGUAGGUGGCGUGGUAAGUCGGGUGUGAAAUUUCGGAGCUUAACUCCGAAACUGCAUUCGAUACUGCUGUGCUUGAGGACUGGAGAGGAGACUGGAAUUUACGGUGUAGCAGUGAAGUGCGUAGAGAUCGUAAGGAAGACCAGUGGCGAAGGCGGGUCUCUGGACAGUUCCUGACACUGAGGCACGAAGGCCAGGGGAGCAAACGGG